UUGCUUCUCUGUUCAGGCUGCUCAUGGGGCCUCCACUUGUCUUGUUGGGAGAAGUGUUUUCCAAUCACUUAAAACCAGGAAAUCUCAUAUUUAAGAAAAAAUAAUUAGGUAUAUUAUUUAACCCCUUUUGUUCGAGACACAGUUACAGGAAGCCAGAAGUAUGGGGCAAUUUUUUUUUAAAGAGUACAGUUAUUUUAAUUUGCUGAUAAACUAAAGUCCUUCUCUAAGUUUCUUCUCAAGCAUAAUCUAUUUUAUUAAAAAGUGAAGGCCGACUAGCCCCUAAGACUCUGACCCAUCUUCAUAUUGACUCAUCUGGAAAUAGCCAAGUUCCUAAAUCUCCUUGCGACCACGGAAAACCAACCACAGAGACUCUUCUUCUUAAGGGAUUUCGUGGAUAUCUGAUUCAGUAUGCUCGGAGUUCUGGGCUCCACCCCGAAAUAGUCCUCAGUACUGCUGCUGCUGCUGCUACUAUCCAAGGGACCUCAUCCUGACAACCACUGGCCUAAAAUAACUAUAGAACCAAUACAGGAAGUUGCUUCCCACAUGGCCCUUUCCGAAGCAUAGCCGGCACCUGCCCUCGCAUCAGCGGAGGAAGCCAAGGUUCACCACACAGAUGGCCACAGCCCUGAUGGACAAGGGAGCCAUGCGGAGAGCAAGCCGCUGGCAAGACUGCUCAAGUCCUGCAAGCGAGGGACACGGAGGAGGACACGCAUCUUAAUUGUCGUCAUGGAAAAACAUCUCCCAGAUGCUGAGUUGGUUGUAAGUGCCAUCUGUCCUGCCCCAGAGGACUGAAGGGAAGGACACCGUUGUCUGAACCCAGGGGCAAUGCGGGCAGCAAGACGAGCUGUUAGUACGCUCUCGUCCGCACUCCACCUGACAGCCGCCUUCCAGAGACCCUGCCUAAGGCCUCUAGUUUGAAGUCAAGUGACUGGCACUGUGGCAGGUCUCUCAUUCUCUUGUGUUUGGUUGCAUUCACUAGAGAGAAUUCUGGAAAGGAUGAGAGUUUAACGUCUCCGGCCUUAUCCUGGAAGGUUUUAAGUCAGCGCAUGCUGCUAUCUGACAUUUGAAGAAAUGAAGUACUUCAUUCUGGCCGUGGGUUCUUUCGUACAGCCCCUUUUGUUUGUUCCACACACAAUGAGUGGGUCCUUUAUGCCAGGCGCAGGGGACACAAGGAGAGAUGUGACACUAUUUCUGAAAUCUGGAUAUUUACUGUAGCAAGGAGUGUGGCCUGUAAAGACAAGAGGCAAUAAGAUGUGGCAAACAGAAAAUAGAGGUUUAGACGUUUCUGGGCCUACAGGGGAGGGGGAAAUAAAAACCCCUCAGGGAUGU